AAAAAAAAAAUGAAGAGGAGUCCGAUUUCUUUCUGAUUCCAGGGUAUUAGGACUCUGAAUUUCCUCGCUUAACCCCGGAUUUUUGGAUAUAAGAGAGAAGCCCUUCCCUCCUCUCUAACAUCAACCCUUGAAGCCUCCGUUUGGAACCGGAUUCAGAGCUCUUUCGUGAAGAAGUCCAUGGGAUUUUCUGAUGAUUCGGCCGUGAGAUCUCGCGGAUGGCAAGGUAGGCCGCUAAACCUUUCUCUUCUCCUUUAUUCCAGUGCUCCGAGAGAUCGUCGUCGCUCGGAUUUAGGUGACGAGUUGUCGGAUU
rnacentral:lncRNA from 1 species